AGUCGAGCGGACAGAUGGGAGCUUGCUCCCUGAUGUUAGCGGCGGACGGGUGAGUAACACGUGGGUAACCUGCCUGUAAGACUGGGAUAACUCCGGGAAACCGGGGCUAAUACCGGAUGGUUGUUUGAACCGCAUGGUUCAAACAUAAAAGGUGGCUUCGGCUACCACUUACAGAUGGACCCGCGGCGCAUUAGCUAGUUGGUGAGGUAAUGGCUCACCAAGGCAACGAUGCGUAGCCGACCUGAGAGGGUGAUCGGCCACACUGGGACUGAGACACGUUCCAAAUUCAUACGGGAGGCAGCAGUAGGGAAUCUUCCGCAAUGAACGAAAGUCUGACGGAGCAACGCCGCGUGAGUGAUGAAGGUUUUCGGAUCGUAAAGCUCUGUUGUUAGGGAAGAACAAGUACCGUUCGAAUAGGGCGGUACCUUGACGGUACCUAACCAGAAAGCCACGGCUAACUACGUGCCAGCAGCCGCGGUAAUACGUAGGUGGCAAGCGUUGUCCGGAAUUAUUGGGCGUAAAGGGCUCGCAGGCUGUUUCUUAAGUCUGAUGUGAAAGCCCCCGGCUCAACCGGGGAGGGUCAUUGGAAACUGGGGAACUUGAGUGCAGAAGAGGAGAGUGCAAUUCCACGUGUAGCGGUGAAAUGCGUAGAGAUGUGGAGGAACACCAGUGGCGAAGGCGACUCUCUGGUCUGUAACUGACGCUGAGGAGCGAAAGCGUGGGGAGCGAACAGGAUUAGAUACCCUGGUAGUCCACGCCGUAAACGAUGAGUGCUAAGUGUUAGGGGGUUUCCGCCCCUUAGUGCUGCAGCUAACGCAUUAAGCACUCCGCCUGGGGAGUACGGUCGCAAGACUGAAACUCAAAGGAAUUGACGGGGGCCCCGCACAAGCGGUGGAGCAUGUGGUUUAAUUCGAAGCAACGCGAAGAACCUUACCAGGUCUUGACAUCCUCUGACAAUCCUAGAGAUAGGACGUCCCCUUCGGGGGCAGAGUGACAGGUGGUGCAUGGUUGUCGUCAGCUCGUGUCGUGAGAUGUUGGGUUAAGUCCCGCAACGAGCGCAACCCUUGAUCUUAGUUGCCAGCAUUCAGUUGGGCACUCUAAGGUGACUGCCGGUGACAAACCGGAGGAAGGUGGGGAUGACGUCAAAUCAUCAUGCCCCUUAUGACCUGGGCUACACACGUGCUACAAUGGACAGAACAAAGGGCAGCGAAACCGCGAGGUUAAGCCAAUCCCACAAAUCUGUUCUCAGUUCGGAUCGCAGUCUGCAACUCGACUGCGUGAAGCUGGAAUCGCUAGUAAUCGCGGAUCAGCAUGCCGCGGUGAAUACGUUCCCGGGCCUUGUACACACCGCCCGUCACACCACGAGAGUUUGUAACACCCGAAGUCGGUGAGGUAACCUUUA
rnacentral:rRNA from 1 species